rnacentral:rRNA from 1 species
UACAGAGGGGGCGAGCGUUGUUCGGAAUUACUGGGCGUAAAGGGCGCGUAGGCGGCCUUCUAAGUCGAACGUGAAAUCCCCGGGCUCAACCCGGGAACUGCGUCCGAUACUGGGGGGCUUGAAUCCGGGAGAGGGAUGUGGAAUUCCAGGUGUAGCGGUGAAAUGCGUAGAUAUCUGGAGGAACACCAAUAGCGAAGGCAGCUCGCUGGGACGGUACUGACGCUAAGGCGCGAAAGCGUGGGGAGCGAACAGG